UUUAUAUUUAGGAGUCCACCCAGGCGUGCGUCAGAUCAGCCCUGUCAACAUCACGAGAAAGACAACUUGGACACAUUUGAAAGAACUUACAGAAAUUGACUUUUUAUGGUGACUUUUAAAAGGUGAAAAGAGGACAGGAGAUACAAAAGAGAAAAAAAAAACAGAAGUGGGACUGAAGAAGAGAGGAAUAUUAAAGAAAAAAGAAGACUCUAAACGUCUGAAGGCGCUUGACAAAGGCCUGCAGGAGACCAGCCAUGGAGGAAGAUUUCAAGAGACCACCGCCAUCCUAUGAAGACGUUAUUACCGAGCAGCACACGAGCAACACUAGUCAGAGCCGCUCCGCAGAUAACAAGCAGGGCUGCUGCUGCAGAUGCUGCAUUAGCACCAAGAACUGUCUGAUGAGUCCGGAGUGCGGUCGAGCUCUUAACAUCGCCAGCGUGGUUGCCAUGUGUGGCAUGUGUAUCCGGAUGUUUGUCUAACGCAGUCUCCUUGUGGACCAUUUAUUCCAGAUCUCUCAUCCAGUGGUGGCCUUCUCAAAUUAAAAAGGAAAGAAAGACAUUUGCUCUGUUCCAAAACCUAGUGAUCUCCAACAUUUAUGAGCUUUCCCCCAUUACGAAUCCCAAAGCUGUUCCAAAUAGGAUGCAGCACUGCAUUUAUCAUUCACAGAUAAGGUAAUCCCAGAACGAACUGACUAAAAUAUCCAUUUCAAAAAGGAAACGUCAAUUGCAAAGUAUAACUUAUAAACACAAAGUAUAUUUAAUUCAGUACUGACAAACAUCAUUGAAAAACACUGCCGUGUCAUACAAUCUAGUCUCUUAUGUGAUUUAUGGGCCUCAUUCAUGAAAAAAGUAGCACAAUAAAUUCAUAAAUCUUUUGUGAAAUCAUUAAGUGUGGCAUUUAAUUAAAUUGGCAUGAGUGACCACUUAAGGUGCGGUCACAUUUAUCAUUGUUAGAUGAACUAGACAAGUCAUUUCAAUAGGGAUCCAAGUUGUAAGGAGUUGUCUUGAGAGCAGAAGAUUUCCCCAGGCAGAUUUCAGUUCAAGUUGGUAACGCAAAUUCAUCAUGUUUGACCAACGGAAAGCUGUUUUAUUUUGAAAAUUAAUUCUGCAUGAGCUGACAACAGGCAAUGACAAUUUUGUCUGCAAAAUGUUGCUAAUGUGACUGUACCUUCCUAGUAUCUAAUUCCAUUUUGAAAGACAGUAGUGUUAAUAUAUUUGUACUAAUAUGUUCUCUAUAAUCCAAGACACCUUUGUUUAUGUAGAACUUUAGUACUAAACAGAAAAAAAAAAAACAGAAUCAGUGAUGCAAACUUCAAAAAACACGAGGCAAUCCCAAUUUUGCUGUAAAGCAUCUCUAACAAGACACUCCAGAACCUAAAAUAGUUGCAGUCAUUUGGAAAUGUUAAUUAAGCUCAUCAUUUUUUUUUUCUUUCAUAAAUUGGAGCCAGUCAUGUAAUUGGAUGUGGCAUCCACCUUAAUUAUGCAUCAGGCUAUCAAAACUUUGCAUUUAUCAUUAACAUUUCUGCUAAGACUUCUUGUGAGACAAUCUAAUUUAUAAUACUUUAUAAUGUUUCAAAUGAUGUGCACUAGACAGACAAGCUAAUAAAUCACAAUGCUUGAUUAUUUUCCGAAUUGUGGUGGAUUGUUUUGCUUUAAGACUAUAAAAUGUUAAACCUGUUGACUGCUAAUGUGUAAAUAA